rnacentral:lncRNA from 1 species
AAGUUCAGCACCAGAAACCACUGAACCAACUGACAAUGAGUCUUAUUUUCAAUUUUUUUUGAAGGUUCUACAUCCGUUGGGUUAAGUGACCGGGUGAGGGUCACCAAACUUAGAAGGUGCAUUCCCUUUUCUUUCUCUUUUUUUUUCUUUUUCGGAACACUCACUUAUAUUCAUCGGCUUCCCUGCGUAGAGUGUGUGUGAGAUGGUGUUGACUGCUGAAAUAAAUUAUUCAAGAGCUGUCAGAGAAUGAGAAUUUAAGGCUAAAACAU